UGGGGUUGUGGCUCAGUGGCAGAGUACUUGCCCAGCAUGUGUGAGGUACUGGGUUCGAUAUUCAGCACCACAA
rnacentral:tRNA from 1 species